UUCGUUUCCCAGAGACUCCUCCAUCACAGCCUUUCUUUAGCUCCUGACUAUCACUCAAUCUUAUGUCUUUUGGUUUGCGAUAAUUUUGAUCGAAUUAAGCGAAGGAACCACCAUCUAAACAACCCACAAACCCCCCAAGAAGCAAAGGAGUUCAACUGUCGUGAGCAGUAGUAGCCGAGGAGCGGACAUCGGAGACCUGGACAGCUUACCACUACCGAUCAUGUAUAAUUACGUAUUUUGAUACACUUAUAUUCUGGGAAACAGUUUGUGUUAUAUC